rnacentral:tRNA from 1 species
GUGGCUCAGUGGUAGAGUGCUUGCCUCAUAUGCAUGAGGCCCUGGGUUCUAUUCCUCAGC